rnacentral:rRNA from 1 species
AUUGAACGCUGGCGGCAGACUUAACACAUGCAAGUCGAGCGGGGUGAUGGUGCUUGCACUAUCACUUAGCGGCGGACGGGUGAGUAAUGCUUAGGAAUCUGCCUAUUAGUGGGGGACAACAUCUCGAAAGGGAUGCUAAUACCGCAUACGUCCUACGGGAGAAAGCGGGGGAUCACUUGUGACCUUGCGCUAAUAGAUGAGCCUAAGUCGGAUUAGCUAGUUGGUGGGGUAAAGGCCUACCAAGGCGACGAGCUGUAGCGGGUCUGAGAGGAUGCGCGGCCAGCCUGGGACUGCGGCACGGACCAGACUCCUUCGGGAGGCAGGAGUGGGGAAUAUUGGACAAUGGGGGGAACCCUGAUCCAGCCAUGCGGCGUGUGUCAAGAAGGCCUUAUGGUUGUAAAUCACUUUAAGCGAGGAGGAGGCUCAUUUGGUUAAUACCCAAGAUGAGUUGAUGUUACUCGCAGAAUAAGCACCGGCUAACUCUGUGCCAGCCGCCGCCGUAA